rnacentral:rRNA from 1 species
AGUGAACGCUGGCGGUAGGCCUAACACAUGCCAGUCGAACGGCAGCACAGUAAGAGCUUGCUCUUACGGGUGGCGAGUGGCGGACGGGUGAGGAAUACAUCGGAAUCUACUUUUUCGUGGGGGAUAACGUAGGGAAACUUACGCUAAUACCGCAUACGACCUACGGGUGAAAGCAGGGGAUCUUCGGACCUUGCGCGAUUGAAUGAGCCGAUGUCGGAUUAGCUAGUUGGCGGGGUAAAGGCCCACCAAGGCGACGAUCCGUAGCUGGUCUGAGAGGAUGAUCAGCCACACUGGAACUGAGACACGGUCCAGACUCCUACGGGAGGCAGCAGUGGGGAAUAUUGGACAAUGGGCGCAAGCCUGAUCCAGCCAUACCGCGUGGGUGAAGAAGGCCUUCGGGUUGUAAAGCCCUUUUGUUGGGAAAGAAAAGCAGCAGGUUAACACCCCGCUGUUCUGACGGUACCCAAAGAAUAAGCACCGGCUAACUUCGUG